UACGUAGGGUGCAAGCGUUGUCCGGAAUUAUUGGGCGUAAAGAGCGUGUAGGCGGCUUGAUAAGUCUGCUGUGAAAGUCCAGGGCUCAACCCUGGAAAGCCGGUGGAUACUGUCAAGCUAGAGUCCGGAAGGGGCGAGUGGAAUUCCUGGUGUAGCGGUGAAAUGCGCAGAUAUCAGGAGGAACACCAAUGGCGAAGGCAGCUCGCUGGGAUGGUACUGACGCUGAGACGCGAAAGCGUGGGGAGCAAACAGG
rnacentral:rRNA from 1 species